rnacentral:tRNA from 1 species
GAGUGUGCAGCCUAGGGCCUUAGUUUUGCAAAAGCUAUUGAGGAAGUUUUAAAUUUCCCACAUUUU